rnacentral:rRNA from 1 species
UACGGAGGGUGCAAGCGUUAUCCGGAUUCACUGGGUUUAAAGGGUGCGUAGGUGGGCAGGUAAGUCAGUGGUGGAAUCUCCGAGCUUAACUCGGAAACUGCCGUUGAUACUAUUUGUCUUGAAUAUUGUGGAGGUAAGCGGAAUAUGUCAUGUAGCGGUGAAAUGCUUAGAUAUGACAUAGAACACCAAUUGCGAAGGCAGCUUACUACACAACGAUUGACGCUGAGGCACGAAAGCGUGGGGAUCAAACAGG